UAAUUGGUGGUUCAGUGGUAGAAUUCUCACGUUGGCGCCAUGCGGGAGGCACAGGUUCGAUUCCUGGCCAAUGCA